GAGGUCACCGUCUGGUCCCAGCUCCCUCGCUGACUCCCAUUGAUGCUUUCAAAGAGCAGAGAGAAAAACAAGUGAGCCACAGUCAAGUGACCCACGCUGAGAAAAGUGCAGGGGCCAGCGGGGCCCUGACCUUCCUGUGCAAAGCCCACACAGCUCCUGGCCCCUGGAGUCCCCAGGUAGUGGGGACGAUGACCUCCCAGCGACUGGAGCGGGGACGUGGCGGACACACAAGGUGAUCAAAGCUCUCAUGGGAAAACCAGAGCAAGAAUUGGAUUAGGGUGCCAGGACCCCUGACCUUCCACCCCCAGGACCGAUUAAAAACGAAGGGGAUCUUCCUGACCCGGGGAUCGAACCUGCAUCUCCUGCUUUGGCAGGCACGUUCCUUAACACUGAGCCACCAAGGAGCAAAUGGUCCCAUUGGAUCAGGCUGACAAUCCUUGGUUUCCUCCACUCAAGUUGUCUUCCAACAUUACCGAACAUCACAGUAAGAAAUGCAACAAAGGUAAGAGUAGUAAUAGCGAGUGUCCACCAUGAAGCAAGUGCUUUGCCUAUGAGUGUUAUCUUAUUAUAGUUUCACAACCCUCGGAGAUAUUUACAAUAAUGAUUUUAUAGACGUGGAGACUGAAGCUCAGAAUGGACAGGACGUUAGUCUCACAGGUCCUGGUGGCAGAGUUGAGAUGUAAACCCAGAUCCAUAGACUCUGAGUCCUUGUUCUUUCCAGCACUGGGUAAGUCUUAGCAGGACUAUAAGGGACA